CAGCAGCCGCGGGAAUACCGAGGUCCCAAGCGUUACUGAGAAUCACUGGGUUUAAAGGGUGCGUAGGUGGUCCGUUAAGUCAGUUGUGAAAUCCCCGGGCUCAACCCGGGAACUGCUUCUGAUACUGGCGGACUUGAGGCCAGUAGAGGUCACUAGAACAGACGGUGGAGCGGUGAAAUGCGUAGAUAUCGUCUGGAAUGCCGGUGGUGAAGACGGGUGACUGGGCUGGUUCUGACACUGAGGCACGAAAGCGUGGGGAGCGAACGGGAUUAGAUACCCCGGUAGUCCCUGUCUCUUAUAC
rnacentral:rRNA from 1 species